rnacentral:misc_RNA from 1 species
UCAAACUUGGUCAUUUAGAGGAAGUAAAAGUCGUAACAAGGUUUCCGUAGGUGAACCUGCGGAAGGAUCAUUAACAAUUUUAUCCGUUAUGGAUAAAUUUAUCCAUAUCCACCUUGUGUGCAUUAUUGAAGUGUUUGUUGGCAGGUAACUUCAAAUACUCGCGUAUUUGAAUUGGCUGAGAACAAAAUGGUUCUCGCGGCCUGCCAAUUUUUAUGUCUAAACUCGUCUUAAUGUAUACUAUCGACUGAAAUAAUUUAUAAAUUAAUUAACACAACUUUCAACAACGGAUCUCUUGGUUCUCGCAUCGAUGAAGAACGCAGC